AUUGAACGCUGGCGGCAGGCCUAACACAUGCAAGUCGAGCGGAUGAAGGCAGCUUGCUCCUGGAUUCAGCGGCGGACGGGUGAGUAAUGCCUAGGAAUCUGCCUGGUAGUUGGGGAUAACGUCCGGAAACGGGCGCUAAUACCGCAUACGUCCUGAGGGAGAAAGUGGGGGAUCUUCGGACCUCACGCUAUCAGAUGAGCCUAGGUCGGAUUAGCUAGUUGGUGGGGUAAAGGCCUACCAAGGCGACGAUCCGUAACUGGUCUGAGAGGAUGAUCAGUCACACUGGAACUGAGACACGGUCCAGACUCCUACGGGAGGCAGCAGUGGGGAAUAUUGGACAAUGGGCGAAAGCCUGAUCCAGCCAUGCCGCGUGUGUGAAGAAGGUCUUCGGAUUGUAAAGCACUUUAAGUUGGGAGGAAGGGAAGUAAGUUAAUACCUUGCUGUUUUGACGUUACCAAAAGAAUAAGCACCGGCUAACUUCGUG
rnacentral:rRNA from 1 species